rfam:Postia placenta Mad-698-R POSPLscaffold_19_Cont1344, whole genome shotgun sequence.
GGUCUUAUAGCUCAGUGGUAGAGCAUACGAUUGCAGUGCGGUUAUCGUACGGUCCCGUGUUCGAUCCACGGUGAGACCU